rnacentral:lncRNA from 1 species
AGGAGGCCUCAUGUCAGAAAAAUCCCGCAACCCCGUCAACACCAUCAUCAAGUAUCAUCUGUUAUUCCAGUAUUUUCCAAUAAUCAAUAUAUGCCAGUUCAACAACAACCACAGCAAAGAACAAACAACUACAACAACAACAACAACAACAACACCCACAAUAGUCAAUAUCAACAUAACUUUGAGAAAAAGAAGGUCUCUUUCGACCAUAUUCCUAAGACUUAUGCUGAAUUGUAUCCAUCAUUGGUUCUCAAGAACCUUAUUCAACCAAGAAAUCCUCCAC